rnacentral:lncRNA from 1 species
GGAAUCUCUGUAUCAUGAUCAGUGGAUGUAUCGAUCGACCAUCCCAAGAAAAAGGAUAUACGUACUCUGCAUAUGUGCAUGCCAACAACUAUAAAAGGAGACCAUGAGGCAAUGAGUUGAUCAUCAAAGCAAACACACAGAAAUCCCAACUAAAAAUCAAUCAGUGAGACAAUGGCUGGAACCAAUGAUAUUAAAAUUAAAGGGUUUGAUUUGAGCAACAACAAAGGCAACACGUCGGGAUUAACCCACUUCGCCAACAGAGCUGCCGAGGGCGACAAGGGCGACAAUAAAAUCGAGGUUGAGGAUGCUAAAGGGCAAGGGAACACGGGAAACUUGAAAGUACUGACCGACUUCGCCCAACGCGGUAAAGUGGGCCAGUCGGAUCGCCAAGAACUACUCAAACCUCAGGCAUGAAAUUGAAGAAGGCCAGACCACAACAACUUGUCUGCUUGAUAGAUAUAUGUGCUAAAUUAUCUACACAAAAAUAAGAGCUGAUGUUUUAUCUGAGGCUCCUUCCUUGGUUAGGCCUCGUUAUCAUGUGUAAUAUUAAUAUUAUUAUUCUAAUAAAAUAAUGGUAGCUUAUUAUUAAAUAUAUCAGAAUUCUAUACGUAUAACUUUUAGAUUAUUGAUACUGAUGUCAACAAGAGAAAAUGAUUAAAAAUUCCUUUCUCCAAUUCGUGAUGUUAGACAAGAAGCAAACAAAUUUAGGAUAAUGGAUUUUAAAAGUUUGGUGACAAAUGAUGGUAAAGAAGAAUUUAGCCACUACUACAAAAAGUGAAAAAGACGACCAGAAAACAACGACGGUCUAAGUGAAAACCGUCGUGGUUUAUAAAAAGACGACGGUUCUAAAAACACCGUCGUGUAAUACAACCUUAGACAACUAAAAAAUGGAGUUUCAAAUGGCUGUUCAAAAACAACGACGUACAUAAUUAAACAACCGACGUCUAUUUGAAACAGAUUUCCUCAGUGUAAAAUCAAUGCCAACAAAGAACGGCAGAAGUUAUGAAUCGACCGACGUAGAAAGUAAAGACGACGAUUUCAAUAAAAACUGCCGUUUUUACUCAUAAAAUAACACGACGAGGUUUUCGUAUAAGACGCCGUAUAAUUACAAACAAAUCCACGGCUUUAAAAUACAAAAUAUCGCCGUAUUAAAUUAAUUUACAACGACGGAAAAUAUAAAUAUAUCGACGUCAUUCUCGUAUAGUUCUACUACGUUAUCUUUAAAUCGUACAAUAAAAUUUAUCGUCGUAUUUAUUCAUUUUAUACGUCGUACCUUUAAUUUUAACGGUCGUCUUAAUAAGAAUUUUUGUUAACAAUUUUUUUCUUUGAUUUUCUUAUCCUACGUCGGUAGAUCUACUUAAUGACAAGAAUUGAAAUAACCACGACGGUUUAUAUAGAACACCGCCGACAUAAUCAGUUUUGUCUGAGAUCCCAAGGGUUACGAAAUCUUACCAGAUGGAACUCUGUUCCACAUCAUAAUCUUAACAGAUGACACAGAUUUGCAAAUAUUGCGUCGUGUUAGUUUACAAAUUCUAGAACAUUAAUUUCCCUCAUUUUAAAUUUCCUCGGGAAAGAAAAAUCUAUUUAUCACGCUUUGGAAUUGAAAACUAAAACUGAAAGAAUACGGGAAAAAAAACUCCAUUUAUAAUUUAAAAUUAAAAUCCACGUCGGUUGUAGUACACUUAACGACGUUUAACAAAAUAAUCUACGUCGGUAAUUAUAAAUCUACCGCCAUCGUAACUUAAUAUAGACGACGAGAAAAGACGACGGUAGAACAGAAAACCGCCGUUGUUUCAGUUUCUUUAACAUAUCUUUCUGCAGGACUUGUGUAGUUCAAAGCAUUGACAAUGUCUUCAUCAUAUCUCCCAGAAACUACUGAUUCAAUUGCUCAUGCUUUAGAGGCCAUCUGAAGCCAUUUCUAUUCUUUAUCGCAUUCUUGAAACCCAUCUUCUUCUUCUGAAGCUCUACGGAUAAAGGAAGAGGCUAUCACAAUAAAUCCGACGGAUCUUCUUAGGCAAGAAAAUCAAGCAGAGGAUCAGGCACAUCUGAUCUUCAGAUUUCCCUGAGAAGCGAACUUUCCUUCGACAGCGAGUGGAGGCCAGGCUUGCAUCUCUUUUGAUGGAAAGCAAGGAGUAUUCAGAAGCACUAAGUGUCCUAUCAGGCUUGAUCAAGGAAGUGAGAAGGCUAGUUGACAAGCUUCUUCUUGUGGACAUAUAUUUGAUGCGAGUAAGCUCAAUUUCUCUUUGAGAAAACAUCCAAAUUAUUAUCUUUGAGACAUGAGAGACUGAGAGAGGAAGAACUUGGAACCUUAAAUGUAAACCGAAAAUGAAUGAAAGCGACAAAUUUAUAGAAUAAAUUUUUAAAACCAACGGCGGUCCUUACAAACAAACCGCCGUUUAAAUUGUAAAAUCAACGUCGGUAUGAUCGACGUAUAUUACAGAAAUCCACGUCGGUAAAUUAAUAAAAACGACGUGUUAAAUAAUAUACCAUGACGCGAGUUAUUACUUAUGUACUUUAAUUUUUGAGUUUACUACGACGGUACCUACAAACUACUGUCGUAUUUAUUUACCACGUCCGAAGUUAAAUGUACCGUCGUAUUUUGUAAUUUAUACGUCGUAGUUAUAUGUAACCGCCAUAUUAUUUUUUUGAAAUGGUUUUAUAUGUAAGCAACUUUUCGUCUACUUGACUUACACAUUUGUUGUUUUUAUAUUCUUAUUUUAUUUAAAUCUGUCAUCCAAAAAAGAAACUUUACAUAUUGCAGAAUAUUAAUUUCCUUCGUUUUAAAUUUCCUCCGGAAAAAAAACUCUAUUUAUAACGCACUGUAAUUGAAAAAUAAACUGAAAGGUCACGGGAAAAAAAAUUCUAUUCAUAAUUUAAAAAUUAAAAUCCACGUCGGUUAUAUUAAACCUAACGACGUUAAAUGAAAUGAUUCCACGUCGAAUGAAAAAUAUUGCGUCGUUUUAGUUAAAAACGACGUAGUUAAAUGUAACCGCCGUAUUAUUUUUUUGAAAUGGUUUUAUAUGUAAGCAACUUUUCGACUUACACAUGCACUGUUUCCAAACCCGAUUAAAAAUUUCAAUCUCCCAGAGAAACCUUUUCGUCUUUUUUCCUUGUCAGAGCAUUGUCAGAGUUUUUCAUCGUCUUCCUCUCGUCUUCUUCGUCGUCUCUGAACUUAAACAUCGAUCAUCUUCCUCUUGCUUUCAUUGCACGCAAAAGGUAAGCUUUCAUUUUCACUAUUUUGGUUACUGUUUUGCAUGCUCAUACGUUUUUUGUUUGAAAAAUCUUUUUACCUUUUUUCUGGCCAAAAUCAUUUUACUUCUUUCCAAGUUUGAUAAAAUAUACAGACAAAGAGAGAAAGUUUCCAACUUUGAAGACAACUACAUCAACUAAAUAAGACGACGGUAGACCACGACGGUUCGUCAGUUGUUCUAGCGUCGUCUGAAAAUUGACAAAGUUGUUUUUAAAAUAAUAGUCUUUUUUUAUAUGCUUGUUUAAUUGCAGGUUUGAUUUCGCUGAACAAUGGUUUUUGUUUUUCCCUUAUUUGAUAAAAUAUAAAGAAAAAGAAACUAGGGUUGGUAUCUAAUAUAGACGAUAAAAUAUAAAUAAUAGUUUACCACGACGGUGUAUUACUAUUGACGUCGUGUGAACAUAUAUACCACGACGUUAUAUAAAUAAUGGUUUUAAACAUUUAUUACGUCUGAGAUUAUUUCAUUGCGUCGUCUAAAAUCAUAUCAUACGUCGUAUUUUUUUAAUACCGUCGUUUGUGUUCUUAAUGUUUUCCUGAAAUAUUUUCACUUGCAGUUUUGUCUGUUAAAAUGGUUUCUCAACAACAAACUAAGGAUUCUGGCUCCAAGAAGCUUGGAAUGGUAGCUCCUCAAGAUAAGUCUUCGAAGGAGAUGAAGUCUUCGAAGAAGAUGAAGUUUGCUUCAUCAUCUGCUGAGACAGAACAAACCAGCCAGACAACAAUCUCAGAUGAUUCAAAGACUGGUCGAGGUAUGAGCACAAUGCCUCGUGUUGUGAAGAGAAAGCUUCAGAAACUGAGGCCAAUUGUUGAGUACAAUAAAAGGGGGAAAGGUGUUGGCCAAGCACAUAUUGAGAUGCAGUCGUAUAUUGGUGUGUUGGCACGCUCCAGGAUCCCACUUGUGGACAAGAAAUGGUCCCAAAUCCCCAAGGAUAUAAAGGAGCAGAUUUGGGAAGCAGUUGACAUGGCUUUUGUCGUAGGCCAAGGGGGCAAGACCUCUGUUUUAGCUUCUGCUUCCAAGAAAUGGAAGGAUUUCAAGUCUACACUAACGAGGCAUUAUAUCCUUCCAUACACCAAUGACAGGGAGAAAUUAAGCCAACCCCCUGAAACAUAUAAAUUCAUAGAGAAAGCACAAUGGGAUGCCUUUGUAGCUUCAAGGCUAUCCAAAGAUUUUGAGUCUGUGCAUUCUCAACAUGCACAGAUUAGGGAGAAACUCGAGUACAAUCAUCGAUUGUCUCGAAAAGGAUAUGCUGGAUUGGAGGAUCAAUUGGAGGAAACCAUGCCUGGGGUAGAAAUUGAUCGAUCUACCUUAUGGAAGAGAGCUAGACAGGACAAACAUGGUAACAUCCCUGAUCCAAAGGUGGCAGAGAAAGCAAAAUUAAUUGUAAGCCUACUAUCACUCUGUUUUAAAUUUUUAUUAAACUGUGAAUUAUUCUUAUUACGUCGUAUGUUAUAUUUUUCGUCGUGUGAAUGAUAUUACCACGUCGAAAAGUUUUUAAAAACGUCGUUAAAGGUCUAAAUAGGAAUCACUACUAUGUUUUCUGUAAUUACAGCAUAAGACGUCGGUGGUUCAUUUUCGCGUCGUGUGAAUGAUAUUACCACGUCGAAAAUUUUUUAAAAACGUCGUUAACGGUCUAAAUAGGAAUCACUACUCUGUUAUCUUUAAUUAUAGCAUAAGACGUCGGUUGUUUAUUCAUUUCGUCGUUUUAAAUAAAUAACCACGUCGGUAUAACUACCGUCGUGAUAAGUUAUAAUAACGUCGGUUUAUACGUUAUUGCGUCGUGUGAAAUUAUAUAAUACGUCGUUUGUACAUAAAUAACCGUCGUGUGUUUUUUUGUUUAUCUUUUUUUAGGAUGAAUUGCAGAAACAAGUCUCGGAAGGCAAAGUCAGAGUAGAUGGCAGCAAUGAUGUGCUGACCAUGGCUUUGGGCCCCGAGCAUCCAGGCAGACUGAGGGGAGUUGGUGCUGGUGUUUCCCCAAGGCAAUAUUUCAAUUUGCCCAAACCACAGAGGGUGAGCUUUGACGACCGUUUGAAGGACAGUUUAAGAGUUCUCCUUCAAGAAGAGACUAAAAAGAUGGAGGCUAAGGCAAGGGAAGAGGCCUUAAGGAUGGAGGCUAGGACAAAACAAUUGGUAGAGGCUGAGAGGGAGCAUUUCCUGAGUCAGCUUUCCCAAUUAAUUCCCAAUUUUGAUCCAAGCAUGCUUAAACCAAGAAUUAGCCAAAGCCCCAAAAAUCCAAUGUCUGACAAAGCUAGCUGCUCUGGAGGUGAUGUGAGAUCCCUACAUUUGGAGGAUGAUACUGCCAAAAUGGGGAAACAUCAGCCAGAUGAAGAGAAGGAAGAAGAAAAAAGAGAUGAAGAGAAGGAAGAAGAAAAGGAGAAAGAAGAUGAAGAAAAGCAUGACGACAAGGUAUGUUCACAUAACUUUGCCUUUUUUAUUUGUUUUUCAAAAUUUCAGACGUCGAUAUUUUUAUUUAAUCCGUCGUUUGUUUAAAACUUAGACGGCGGAAUUUUUUUAAGACGUAAUAAAAUAUUUAAACGACGGUUUUUGCACCGUCGUUUAAAUGGUUUCAGACGACGCUUUAUUCAUAAAACCGUCGUCUUUAUUGAAUUACCACGACAGUUUUUUCACCGUCGUUUAAAUACUUUUAAGACGACGUUUUAUUACUUAAACCGUCGUCUUUAUUGAAUUACCACGUCAUUUUUUUUAUUUCUUUAAACAGGUUAUUGAAGUUGGUGCUUAUUCAAAAAUGGAGGCGCCAUCUUCUUUAAAAACCCUUUGUCGUUUUGUGGAAACGACACUCCUGCCUGAGGAUAAGACACUCCAAUUUACAAUUGAUAAGGAGGUGUUUGGUGGUGAGCGCGAUACCUUCCUCCUGCCUGAAGAUAUUACACAAUUUGCAGGCAUGGAAGAAAUUGGAGCUACUGUAUUGGCUGUAUAUAUGAGGUUUGUACUUCUAAAAUAAUACCUCGUUGGUUUAUAUAUUGCGUCGUCUUAACUAACUAACCACGUCGUCUUAACUAACUACCGUCGUGAUAAAUAUAUUAUAACGUCCUCAUCUAUUUCAGUACGUCGUGUGAAAUAUUAUAAUACGUCGUUUUUUUAUACAUAACCGUCGUGUUUGUUUGUGCUGACUUGUUUAUAUUAUUUUAUGUAUUUAGGUACUUACACGAUGUUUUGAAACAAGCCAAUAUGUGCAGCAUGGUUGGCUUUAUUGACCCUGCUACAGUUAGUGCCAACUCUGGCACAAUAACUGAAAGAUCACGACUGGUAGCAGCUCGACUUCAGAAGACAGACGGUGAACAGCUUUUCAUGAUGCCUUACAAUCCAGGGUUAGUCUCCUUAGGAUUUUGUUUUUAUGAUUUUCAAUAAAUGACAGCUUAUAAACUAACCACGUCGGUGUUUUAUUUUAUUUAGUCGUUUGAAACUACUAACCACGUCGGUAUUUAUUUGUCGUCGUGAUAAAUAUAUAAUGUUGUCGUUAUCUACUUUAUUUCGUCGUGUGAAAUACUAUAAUACGUCGUUUUUGUAAAUAACCGUCGUUUUUAUAUUAAUUUUGUGCAGCCGUCAUUGGAUCCUGCUGAUUGUAAGAGCAAAGAAGGAGACCGUCUAUUUUCUGGAUCCUCUGCCAGGUCAUCGUGUGGUCGACGAAGAGGCGAAAAACAUCGUGAACAGUGCUUUAAAAAUAUAUAAUACCCACAUAGGCCGAGCAGGACGUAAAAAUGUAAUUUGAAAAACUCUCUCAGGCACACCAAAGCAACCCAGCAAUGUCGAAUGCGGGUAUUAUGUGAUGCGCUUCAUGAGGGACAUCAUCAUGGAUCCUUCCUUGGGGUUUGAGAAUAAGGUAAGAAGAAAUUACCUUCAUACAUUUCACGUCGUUUUUUGUAUUAUCAACGACGGUCAUGUAAAAUUAACGUCGUUGAAUGGAUAUACUACGUCGGUUAUGAAAAAUAUCGUCGUCUGUGAUUGAAUUUCUUUUUAUUUAUAAACCCUAAUAGUCAUUGUUUAUGCAGUAUGCCAAGGGAAACCAGGAAGCUUCAUACCCCCAAGAAGCCAUUGAUGAAGUCCGGAAUGAAUGGGCAGAGUUUGUUUUCCAAAUUAUUAAACAGGGCAAUUAUUGAACACUUGAUAUUUAUGUAUAAUGUACCAAUUUUCUCUAUAAUAUGUAAUGUAAAAAUUUGUUGAGGUUUUCUUAAAUUAAAAAAAAAACAAACAUACAAAUUGCUUAACCGACGUGUAAUACUUUUCCAACGACCUAAUAAAGUCACAAACCGUCGUAUUUUGUUGUUUCGUGUUUUAAACAAUUACGACGUAAAAAAAUAGUUAGACGACGUUCUUUGAACAAUUGAGUCGUUAAUGGUUUACAAUAUCUUCAAUUUCUUAAGGGUUCAGGGUAUAAUCGACGACGUUUAUGUAACGACUGCGGUUAAGUCGUAAAAUAUAUAUUUUACGUCGUAUAGUUAAAUAGCCGCCAUGGUUUUUCAUUUUAACGACGUCAUUUUAACGACUUAGUAGUCUAUUACAAUUUACAACGUCUACAAUUUAUUAACACCGACGUGGUUUGUUGUUGUGGUAAGAAUAUUUUAUUAUUUUUAUAUCAAAAUAUUCAAAAUAAAUUUAAAAUAAAUCAGAAAAUUGAAAAGUCAACUCCUAUGAAGUCAUUGAUAUAUUUUCUUCCACAUAAACCUUGAAAAAAUUCAUUUUGAAUAACAAAAAUUUAAAAUGACCAUCCAAAACAAAAUUGUUUUGAUGACUCAUAAAAUCACUUCUAGUUUUAUGGUUUAGGGUUUAGAGUCUAGGGUUUAGAGAUUAGGGUUGUUAUUUAUUGGGGUUUAUUUUUAAAGUAUAAUUUUUGGGUAGUCUAGGGUAUAUGUUAGGCUUUAAAACCAUAAAACCUUUUAUAAACUUAAUUUUUUAAAUUGUAUAAUUUAAUUUUAUGGGUUUAGGGUAUUAAUUUUUAACGACGGUGGUUGGGUCGUGGAAUACAUAUUUUACGUCGUACAGUAAAACAUACGACAUGGUUUACGCUUUAAACGACGUCAUUUUAAUAUGUAAGUCGGUUUAUAUAAUUUACAACGUCAACGUCUUUAAUUUCUUAACACCGACGUGGUUUUUCAGUCGUCGUUAUAUAAAAAAUUCAAAAUAAAUUUAAAAUUAAUCCGAAAAAUGAACGGCCUUACGUUCUUAAUCCGAAAAAUGAAGUUUCCGUCGUGGAAUAUUAAAUUUACGUCGGUACUUGUAGAACUUUCGCCUUGGUUUUUCUUUCGACGUUUUAAAACGCGCGCGCUCUAAAAAUUUUCGCGCGACCUAAACUUUUUUAGAUUUGGCUCUUAUUCUUAUACUUCGAACCCUGAAACCUAAAANNNNNNNNNNNNNNNNNNNNNNNNNNNNNNNNNNNNNNNNNNNNNNNNNNNNNNNNNNNNNNNNNNNNNNNNNNNNNNNNNNNNNNNNNNNNNNNNNNNNNNNNNNNNNNNNNNNNNNNNNNNNNNNNNNNNNNNNNNNNNNNNNNNNNNNNNNNNNNNNNNNNNNNNNNNNNNNNNNNNNNNNNNNNNNNNNNNNNNNNNNNNNNNNNNNNNNNNNNNNNNNNNNNNNNNNNNNNNNNNNNNNNNNNNNNNNNNNNNNNNNNNNNNNNNNNNNNNNNNNNNNNNNNNNNNNNNNNNNNNNNNNNNNNNNNNNNNNNNNNNNNNNNNNNNNNNNNNNNNNNNNNNNNNNNNNNNNNNNNNNNNNNNNNNNNNNNNNNNNNNNNNNNNNNNNNNNNNNNNNNNNNNNNNNNNNNNNNNNNNNNNNNNNNNNNNNNNNNNNNNNNNNNNNNNNNNNNNNNNNNNNNNNNNNNNNNNNNNNNNNNNNNNNNNNNNNNNNNNNNNNNNNNNNNNNNNNNNNNNNNNNNNNNNNNNNNNNNNNNNNNNNNNNNNNNNNNNNNNNNNNNNNNNNNNNNNNNNNNNNNNNNNNNNNNNNNNNNNNNNNNCUGUUUUUGUUUAAAACCCGUCGUCUCAUGUUGUUUAUACCUUGCGAUUAGAUCAUGUAUAAUCUGCUAUAGUGAUGGUCAUGCCUGUAUUUUCACUUUUAUAUAGAUAAUAGGUUAUAGUGUCGGAGAUGGAUAAGUCAUGGAUGCACUCGGAUAGAAGAUCGAAGGCAUAUGAGUUUGGGGUGGAAGCAUUUUUGAACUUUGCUGUAGAAAAUCUUCUAACUACAACACAUAUCCGUUGUCCAUGUGUUAAAUGUGUUAAUUUGAAGUUGUUUGGGGUUGGAAUUAUAAGGGAUCACUUAUACUUUAAUGGAAUUGACCAAAGCUAUAAGAAUUGGACAUUUCACGGAGAACCUUGGGAAGCAACUACUAAUGCUAGCAGAAAUGUUGAAGAAGAUGAUGGCCAUAGUAGGUACAGUUUUGUGUCUGAAGAAAUUGAUAUGGAUGAUAAUGAUUUUGGUGAUUUUGGUUCGGAUCCGUAUGAGUUUGCCAAUGUGAUUGGGGAUGGAGAUCAACCAGUGUACCCUGGUUGUAGAAAGUACACGAAGUUAUCGGCAUUAGUGAAGUUGUAUAAUUUGAAGGCAAAACAUGGGAUGAGUGAUGUCUGUUUUACAGAAUUAUUGAUACUUCAAGGCGAUUUGCUUCCAGAAGGAAAUACAAUACCAACCUCCAUGUAUGAGGCUAAAAAGACUUUGUGUGCAUUGGGGCUGAGUUAUGAGAAAAUGCACGCAUGCCCCAAUGAUUGCAUCUUGUAUAGGAAGGAGUAUGAGGAUUCAACUAAUUGUCCUACUUGUGGUAUCUCAAGGUGGAAGGAAGGCAAAGAUGCAAUCUUGAAAGAGGGUGUGCCAGCGAAGGUGGUGUGGUAUUUUCCCCCAAUUCCAAGGUUUAAAAGGAUGUUUCAAUCACAUGAGACAGCUAAGAGUUUGACUUGGUGGCAUGUUGCUAGAAAAUCAAUUGACGGUCAGAUGUCUCAUCCGGCGGAUUCCCCGUCUUGGAAACUUCUUGAUGAUAAAUGGCCUGAGUUUGGUAAUGAGCCGAGAAACUUGAGAUUGGCUCUUUCAUCUGAUGGAUUCAAUCCCCACAGUUCUCUAAGUAGCAGAUAUAGUUGUUGGCCGGUUAUCUUAGUUACAUAUAAUCUCCCUCCAUGGCUGUGCAUGAAACGAAAGUUCAUGAUGUUAACCUUAUUGAUUUCCGAUCCUAAACAACCCGGAAAUGAUAUAGACGUCUACUUGGAGCCUUUGAUUGAUGAUUUAAAAUCCUUGUGGGUUGGGAUUAGAGGAGUGUAUGAUGCACAUAAUGGAGAAUACUUUACACUCAGAGCUGCAUUAAUGUGGACAAUUAAUGAUUUCCCCGCCUAUGGAAACUUAUCUGGUUGUGUUGUUAAAGGAUAUAAAGCUUGUCCAAUAUGCGGCGAUGAUACACCUAGUCAAACAAAUAUUUUUUGUUGACGACCCGAUGCAUCGUGGUUGGUCGUGUAGGCGUGUGAGUGUGUGUUUGUGUUUGUUUUUGUGUGUGUGUGUGUGUGUGUGUGUGGUGUGUGUGUGUGUGUGUGUACCAUUACUNNNNNNNNNNNNNNNNNNNNNNNNNNNNNNNNNNNNNNNNNNNNNNNNNNNNNNNNNNNNNNNNNNNNNNNNNNNNNNNNNNNNNNNNNNNNNNNNNNNNAUGUAAUUGGCAGUGUAUGACAUUAAUUUUGUAAUAUAUUGUAAUGUGAUUUCUUCACUUUCUACGUUCAAAUAAAACACGACGUUAUUGUGAAUCAGUUAUUCAGCAUAUUUACCGACGUCUUAAAGCAACGUAACAAUGAAGAACCACGACGCUAUUGUGAAGCAAUUAUUCAGGAUAUCACGUCGGUGAAGGAUAAAGAACCGCCAUGUAAUUCAAAAUAACACGACUCCAAUCCCAUAAUACCGACGUCUAAAAAACGAGAUAUGUAAUCUGAACGUUAAAAAAUACGACGUCAUCAUACAUUUUCCACGUCGCAAGUUCUUUUAUAAACGAAGAGGAACGAAAUUAAUUCCGACGGAAAUUCAUUAUAACCGCCGUCUAAUAACAAUUAAACGACGUUAUUUGUAAUACGGCUCCCAUCAUAAUCUACGCCGUCUAUAUGUUCUGUAAUACGGCUCUCAUUUAUUUGGAACCGACGUUGUUUAGACGUUCAACGUCGUCUAUAUUAUUAAGUGCGUCGUGAGUAAUGAAUACAUAUAAAUACAACGUCGACUAUAUAAAUGUAUACGUCGUAAAUAAUGACACUGACAACUAUUUCCACGUCAUCUUUUUUAGAUAAAAUCGAAGUGGAAAAUUUAUUUCACGACGGUUUUUUGUAAAUAAGAGACGUUGUAGAACUUUAGCAGACUAAACACGUCUGUUUUUAUUGUUUUCCGACGUUGUUGUAUUUAACAACGUCUAAUAUUUAUGGUCGUUGUUUGUUUCUGAAAAUAGGACGUAUAAAUUUUUUAAUACGACUCUCAUAUAUUUGUAACUGACGUUGUUUAGUUUUUCAACGUCUACUAUAGAAACACAUACGUCGUAAAUAAUGACACUGACAACUAUUUCCACGUCAUCUUUUAUCAAAAAAUCGAAGUGGAAAAUUAAUUGUACGACGGUUGUGUUUAUAUGUGCGACGUAGUAGGUAUCAAUAACAUCGUCUUCUAAUGUAUUUAAAGACGUCAUAUUUUUUAUUGUCGUGAAAAUUAUAUUUAACGUCGGCGUAUUUUUAUUGUCGUCGUUGUAUGUCUAUCUUGCGGCCUUGUUCUCUUAAUAUGUGUCAUAUUUUCCCUUUUUAACGACGGUCUUUUUAGAGAAUUGGUCGUCUAUUAUCAUCAUCGAUUGCUUUUUUUAGAUCUUUUUGCAGUACAAAGACGUCGUUUUGUAUUUUUUGAUGACGUUGUAUUGUUUAACAACGACGGUUAUUUAGCGUCGUGGUUUAUGAGGGAAAAGAUGACGGUGGAUUCCACGACCAUUGAAAAACCAAAUACACGACGGUGAUUUACCGUCGUCUUUUUGCUUUUUUGUAGUAGUGAUCGGAAACUUGACUAAUUAGAAUACAACAUAUGUCGAAAUAUUUUUAUCAUAAAUGGUCUCUAAGGUUCGUGAAAUUAUUAGCUUUAGUCCUUCAUGUUUUUUUGUGACAUCAUUGGUCCUUUAUGUUACUCCUCUUCACACAUCAAUUUGGUUCUGCCGUUUGGAUUCGUCAAAAUUUAUGUUAAAUUGAUGGCAUGACAUGUAUAUGGUGCCUACAUAUCCAAUGAGAUAAUGACCCGUGGAUCUAAGUAAAAAAUUUGUUUUAAAAAAAUAGUUUCAUAUUUAAAAUUUUUAAAGGGCGAAGACUCAUUGGGUAACUCGAAGUUUGGGUUGUUGAAGCCUUCAAGCAUGGUUUUGCUCACAAAAGAUUGGAACGCAAUGUGUUGGGUUGAGCACUGAAAACCAAAGAAUAUCAAAAAUGUAGUAGGGGGGAGAGAGAGAGAGAGANNNNNNNNNNNNNNNNNNNNNNNNNNNNNNNNNNNNNNNNNNNNNNNNNNNNNNNNNNNNNNNNNNNNNNNNNNNNNNNNNNNNNNNNNNNNNNNNNNNNACCUCAUGUCAGCACUUAAUAGAAAAUUUGACGGACCCUAACGGCAUGGAUCAAAUUGAUGUGUGGUGUGUAACAAAAAGGAUCAAUAAUGUCACAAAAAACAUAAAGGACCAAAGUUGAUAAUUUUGCGAACCUUAUACACCAUUUAUGAUAAAAACCCUAUAUUGUAUAAUUUUAGUGUGUUUUUUUCUUAAAUGCUAUUGAGAAGAGAUUUUAUAAAACUGCUAUAUAAAAGGUUCACCACAAUGCUAUAAAACAAUAGUAGAUUAUGGCUCUCAGAUGUUUUCAUCUUCUUAUUCAUCCAAGCAGAUCGAUAACAUAUGGUCACUACUGACUUUUUCUUGUAGUUCUCAACAUCCAUCUUUCAAGCCAUCAACCAAGUUGUUGCAUUGCUCCUCACUGUUAGAAAAGCCUCGUUUCCCUCCUCCUCCUCCAUUGAUUGAAGGAGAGACAACAAAAGCAACUUAUGAAACAAGCCCCUCAUUUCCUUGUUAAACAUAAAUCGACCCAUUAUUGAUGAGGACUGAGAAUCUAAGAGCACACUAGUAAUUAACCUGAGUGGGGAAUAUGGAUGAUGGAUCUCUCUCUCUCUCUCUCUCUCUUGAAAAAAUCAACUUCAUUAUCCUUGGUGAAUUUGUUCUGAAUUAGUCGUGUCCAGCUACAAGCAAUACUGUACGUAGUAUAUUAUUCUCUGCAUUUGUGCAUGCCAACAACAAACAAAUAUUAUUCUCUAUUAUAGCAUAUAGGCCGUCAUUUUCAAUCCUUAUAAGAGAAAACUUGCUUCGCCAUAAGAGUACGUAGCUUGGCAAGCAAGGUAAGGGUACUUCAAAAGAUUCCUUCCAUCAUCUAUAUAAGACACAUGUGACAUUGCAUGUCUCAUCAAUCAUGUUAAGAUAAAGCUAGCUGGCAAGGCAAAUUACCAACCUUUAUGCUCGAGUAUAUUAUUCCAAGCAGAUAUAAAUGUUAAUAUAUGUGAAGAAUAUUAUGAUCAAUAUAGAAUAUGUAUCAUGAUCAGUUAUGGUAUCGACUGUCAGAAAAUAUCAUCCGCAUAUGUGCAUACCAACAUUAUCGAAAGACAGUAGGAGUAUCGUCAUAUCCGAUACAAGUAUCGGAGCAUGGGUAAGAGUAUAUAUACAAGCAUACCCGUCCAAUUAGGAGAAUCAGUGCAACAUAGAUGAAAAGAAAUUAGAUGUGAUUUCACAUAUUUUUAAAGAAUAGGGGAAAUAAACCAAUUAAUCUCUUUUGUCUUCUCCAUACAUUUUUGGUUGUGAAUUUUGGUUUUCGAAGAAUUUGGCAUUUCAAGCAACUUGGAAAACAUUUUGAUGAUCCAUUGAACCUUGUUAAAGUCGAUAUUCAAUCUCUAUGGACUUUGGCCGAAAUGUCUCAUUUCAAUUGGAAAGUGACAUUGAGAUUUGAAAAGACUAGACAUUAAGGUGGCAAGAGAAGUCUAAAAGGAUCAAACAGAAAAAAAUAAUGAAAAAUUGAAAAUAACCUAGAAAGGGGAGAAAAAAUUAGUUGCAAUAGGGAUAAUAAUGUUUGAGUAAUGCUAAACGAACUCUAAAAUUAACUUAGUACACCCUACUAUCAAACUAUUUAUUGAAUUACUAAUUUACCCUAAUAUAAAAUGACCAAAAAGGAUAUAUUGAAUUGUGCAGCAAAUGUAAUUUUAAUAAGUACACAUUACUCACCAUAUUCAACCCUAAUAUUCGAUGGAGGCGACAUUGAAUGCUAUGAAUCCAACCCAAACCCACCACCACCGUCCCUCUCUCUCUCUCUCUCUCUCUCUCUCUCUCUCUCUCUCUCUCUCUCACAAAUUAUCUUAUUUGCUCUAAAUUUUUUGCAAUGAGUCAGAAUCUUCUAUGUGUAUGUGGCAUUCGUUCAUUAGACUUGGUUAAUGCAUUCAACCCACCCAAAACAAUAAUCAUUUGAUGUUCAUCCUCGAUGUUGGUGGUUUCAAGUGAGCAUGUUCCCAAACGGCUCUUACACUUGCCCACUAGAACUCCAGCUCCUCACCCUCUGAUGAAUCUAAUGACAAUUAUGUUGUUGUUUGCACCAUAAACACCAACUUCCAACAACUCCAAUACAACCUAUUUCUUCUUAAUUAGAUACCUUGGGGGUUGAUAGCAACCUCAAUAGUCUAAGAAACAAACCCACUUCGGAAUUUUCCUUCUUCCACUAGUUGAAGGGAGAUGGGUUCCAACACGAUAUUACGCGCUUAUUAGAAUCUUAUACUCGUCGAGUCUGGGUUGGCUGGUGAUAAGCAGGGGAAGGGUGGAGUUGGGUUGUGUUAGAGAGAGAGAGAGAGAGAGAGAGAGAGAGAGAGAGAGAGAGAAAGAGAAAGAGAGAGAGAAGGGCGGUAGUGGUUGGGUUGGGUUGGAUGCGAAAGGGCUUAAAUCAGAGGAGGAAGGACGGGUUUGGCUGGGUGGGUGACAGGACCCGACCCAAUUUCCGCUUUGGAAUCCGAGCUGAAUCCUGUGCGUGUCCGACACCUGGCGAAUGUCGGGCACGAAUGACCUUUUUACCCUUCUCUUUUCAAAUUCUUUUUUUUUUUAAACUUCCCUUAGACUUCUACCGAAAAUUCGACAGAGUCUCCCCUGUAUUUUGACCAAACCCAAAGUCUUCCACCUGUCAAACAGUCUCAAAUAACACACCAACUACCAGACUAACUCAACCAACAGAUCUCAACUCCAGUUUCUCAUGUUCAACAAGAUAUCAAAGCAUUUCUAUACAAAUUUACAGAACUAUGAGAAAGUUACAACGAGAUCCUACACUUUGGGGGUGGGGCGAAAGCUGGGAAGAUGGCCCGAGUGGUUUCCUUCGUACUUCUAUGGCCUGGGGGCGAAAAACAAGGUUAAAAUUGUGAGUGGACAAAAAUAAAAUUCUUUAAAACAAAAACAAGUUAGAACAUAAUAACCCCCGUUUUGAAAUACUAGGGAUAUAAAUCGUUAAUUUAGCUAUAUUUCAAUAUAAGGAAUUCAAUAAACAUGAAUAAAUAUACUGACGAAUAAACUUGCAUAACUGAUCAAAUAUAUAUAAAGAUAAUAACGCAUGAAUAUCAAGAAACUGGUAUAAAAUCACGGGAAAUCAUAACUGGAUAAAAGAGCUCAAAAUCCUUUGAAACUACCACCUAGAUGUACCCCUGUCAUAUCCGUCAAUUCCCCUGGCAGGUCUCGGGCGUCACGCAGUCUACCCGAGCCGCAAACUGGCGAAAUCAAGGGACUAUGAUCAGCCUGAUCCGCCGGCAGGUCUCGAUGACACCAAGUCGACUCGAGCCGCUCUGGCAGGAUGCAGGGGACCGCAGUCAGCCUGAUCCGCAAUCCUGGCAGGUCUCGGGGACACAGAGUCAGCCGAGCCGCAAAUCCUGGCAGGUCUCGGGACACCAAGUCUGCCGAGCCGCAAAUUCUGGCACUCACGGUCCGAGCGUCCCCGAAACUCGUGAGGCAAAGUCAAGUGCACUGACGUAACUGAAAUCAGACUGGAUGUUCGUAGACAUCGGUCCGACUGUGGGUAAUCACCAUAAAUAGAUGGGUACAUGGUGGUUUAACAAGAAAUUCUGAUAACUCUCUGAAAUCUGAUAAGUCUGAACUAAAUUACUAUCUUUGUAUCAAAAGUCUCAAGUUUACUGCUCAACCAAUAUUAUAAAAAUAAAGAUAUUUCACAAUGCAAAUCAUGCUUCGAAAUUACGUAAUAACACUUAUUCAAGAUCAAAUAGAAAAUAUAAUUAUAAAAUCUUUUAGGAAAGAAAAGUCCACUCACUGUUGGUCCGAGCUAUCUGGACCCUUCGAAGAUCCCUCAUGUGGGUCAACUGGACCUCUGGUGCCUUACUCGAUUGAUUUGGUGGAGAAUUGAAGGAGAACGAAGGAGAUGAAGUUUGGAUGAAAAACAGGCGGAAAUCGCCAGUUUCCGGCCAAUUCCCGGCGGUCCAAGGCCGGCGACGGGUCGAGGAAGGGAGGCGGCGGCGAGGCGGACCGAUUGACACCAACGGCGGAGGUCGCCGUGCCCUGUAGCGACGGCACGCUCGAUCUGAAACAGGGAGGGGGGCGGCGGUUGCGACGGGAGAGAGAGAGAGAGAGGAGAGAGAAAUGAGGAGAGAGAAGAGAGAAGGAAGAGAUAAAAUCUGACUUUUUUUUCAAAUUACCGUUUUGCCCUUCGAGGUAAUUUAAUCGUAUCUUCUUCAUUACAAUUCCAAUUCGGGUCUACUCCGUGUCUACGGACUCGUUUCGCCGUGCUCUACGCAACGGCGCAAGCGAAAUUCUCAAAUUCUUUCUUGAUCAAAAAGUCAAAUUUUCCCCUAUUAAAAUAUGCGAGGGCAAAAUCGUCUUUUGGGUAGAAUAAAGAAAUCCUAAUUUUUAGAUAUUUUAGUUUGGGUUAUUACAGUGGGGGGUGGAGAGAUGAUGGGAGGUCGAUUUAACAGGGUUAAGUGUUGUUAAGUGGUUUACCACAUGUCAAAAAAAUAGAAGGAAAACAUGUCGGGCACAUGGCAUUUGGUAACAGUAAAAUUGGACUCAUGAAUGAGUUAGGUGUUGUGUGAUAGAGUGUAUUAGGGUGUACCAUGGGUAUUUUUAGUAGUUAAAUAGGAUGUACUGAGUUAAUUUUAUAAUUUGAUUUAAAUAUUAGGGUAUACUUAGAUCAUAGGGUGUACUCAGUUAAUUUUAAGGUUUGUUUAGCAACAUUCUAAUGUUUUGUUAUCCCCGGUCAAUAAUUUUAUAUCGUGUGGCUUAGAAGGAGGCCUGUUAUCCAACUCAUCUGGUCCACCGUCCAUGAUAUGAACCCGACUUGAGAAUCUUUUGGUGAAGUAGAACAACCCAACUUGAGAGUUGAGGCAGCCAAACUAGAAGGGAAGCAUCCCCACUCCAGUCCCGCUCCCCAUGUGCCCAAUACUUUGCUUGUUUACUUCACCUUUUAAACCUUUUAGGAUUUUCCAUAGGCUAAGAGGAAAACAACAACAUUACGGCCCAGUUUACGAAUGGAUUCGAGGGGAAAUUACUUCCCAUGCCAUUUUUUAAGGGAUGGAAAAUGGAGAUUCAUUUCCCAUAUUUGAUAAUCCUAGGAAAGUAACUAAGAAAUACUACUUUAUUUCCUUUCACAUAUUUGGUUUGUGUAGGAAUGUAAAACAAAGUUAGUUUAAUUUUUCAAUUAUAUCCAUAUGAAAUUAAAUUUUAAAAAAAAUGUAUUUAAUGCUAUAUUGUUAAUGGGGACAAUAUGGUCAUGAAAAAUGUGUAUUUAAUGUUGGCUAAUUUUCUCAAACUUUCUCAUGUGCAAGACAACGAUUUCUCAUGCCUAGACUUACCAAAUAUGGGAAAGCAAUUGAUUUCUCAUCACCAAGCCUCCUUUCCCAUGAACCAAACAGGACCUACAAGUUAUUAGCUUCAAGCCUUCAAGGAUUUUCAUAACAAAUCUUCCAAUCUCACACAAAAAUAAAAAAGCAUCCAUGUAUGUAAUUUCUAGAUUAAAAUCUCACUUUUUAGGCAUUCCAUUUUCUUAGGAUUAGGUAUUACUACGCACGGACAAUCUUACGAUUAUCUGCAAUUCAUCCUUCAAUAGCUAUGGACGUUAUAUCAAAUCAACAAUAAGACGUACAUUUCUUCAAAGAACUAAAUCAUGCGGAUGUCAACUUGCUCUCACUUAUAUGUUUGUCUCUCCAUAUGAGGAAGGGUGUUUAGCUUAAGGUUUUAGGGCGCGGUUGUCUAAGAACAAUAAGGUGAACAUGUUUUGUCAAAGUACAUGGGAGACCUUUAUCUUCAAACACAAAAAAUGGCCAAAAUUAAAUUAGCAAGGAUCGACAUAUGGAUGUGAGCUUUUACACAUUGCCACUAAUUCUCUCCAUACUUUUGUUGAAAUCAUUUACAAAAUAAGAAAACUUUAGUAAUUGAAGCGAAAGAGAAGAAUUACCAGAACAGAAAAUAAGAAAAAAGAAGCACCUAACCCAAACUUUAAGUCACGAAUUUAACAGUUUACUUUUUAAAAAAAGUAAGUUACAAAACAAUCCCCUUAUUGAUGAGGAUUGAGAAUUUAAGAGCACUAAUAACUUGAGUGAGGAAUAUUGCACAUGGACGAUGGAUCUCUCUCUCUCUCUUUGAAAAAAAAGAAAAAAGAAACAAAAAUCAACUUCAUUAUCCUUAGUGAAUUUGUUCUGGAUUAGUUGUGUUGCAAUGGAACAUCGAACCUACCUAGCUAAAAGGAAAAAAGAAAGGCCACUACGACAGUACUGCAGUAUAUUAUUCCAAGAAGACAAAUGUAAACUAUAUACGUGAAGAAUAUCUAUUAUUGGUCGUCAUUUUCAAUCCUCAUAAAAGAAAACUUACUUCGCCAUAAUUUCAGGUUGUUCUCAAGGCAGGAAGGUAAGGACACUUGAAAAGAUUCCUUCUCAUCAUCUAUACAAGGAAAUGUGUUCUCAUCAAGCUAGGGGACAAGGCAAAUUAGCAACCUUUAUACUCGAUAUAUUAUUCCAAGCAGAUAUACAUGUGAAGAAUAUUAUGAUCUUGAUCAAUAUGGAAUCAGUGGGUGUAUCGAUCGACCAUCCAAAGAAAAAGGAUAUCCUCUGCAUAUAUGUGUGCAUGCCAACAACUAUAAAAGGAGACCAUGAGGCAAUGAGUUGAUCAUCAAAGCAAACACACAGAUAUCCCAACUAAAAAUCAUUCAGUGAGACAAUGGCUGGAACCAAUGAUAUUAAAAUUAAAGGGUUCGAUUUGAGCAAAAACAGCGGCAACACGUCCGGAUUAACCCACUUCGCCAACAGAGCUGACGAGGGCGACAAGGGCGACAAUAAAAUCGAGGUUGAGGAUGCUAAAGCGCAAGAUAACAAGGGAAACUUGAAAGUACUGACCGACUUCGCCCAACGUGGUAAGGUGGGCCAGUCGGAUCGCCAAGAAAUCACGGGGAGCAAGCCACUUCAGACGGCAGCAUGAAAUUGAUGAAGGCCAUACCAUAAUAAAAUAUCUACACUAAAAUAAGAGCUGAUGCAGUAUCUGAGGCUCCUUCCUUGGUUAGGCCUCAUUAUCAUGUGCAAUACUAAUAUUAUUAUUCUAAUAAAAUAAUGGUAGCUUAUUAUUAAAUAUAUCAAAAUUCUAUACGUAUAACUUUUAGAUUAUUGAUACUGAUGACAUACCAACAAGAGAAAACGAUUCAAAAGUCCUUUCUCCAAUUCGUGAUGUUACAAAAUGAGACGUCAAAUUUAAAAAUAUAGUUGCAUACGAGUAUAAACUGAACCAAUAAGCAAUGUAUGAGUGACCAAAGGUCUCAAACGAUGCAUUUAAGAAGAAGGGUACUAAAUUAAAAGAUGUACGCCAGUGAACUAUGGCAAUCUCUCGUUGCAUGCACGCAUAUGCAAUUGAAGAAGACCUAACUUAUAUCACGAAGAAGUGGAUGGGUCUUUACAUAUGAAGUUUUUAAAAUUAACACUACCGGAAGACAAUAGGAGUAUCGGCGUAUCUGAUACAAGUAUCGGAGUCUCGGAGUAUUAGAUUUGAGCAUACCUGUCCAAAUAGGAGUAUCGGUGCAACAUAGAUGAAAAGGAAUUGGAUGUGAUUUCACAUAUUUUUAAAGAACAGGGGAAAUAAACCAAUUAAUCUCUUUCGUCUUGUCCACACAUUUCUUGUUGCAAAUUUUGGUUUUCAAAAAAUUUGGCAUUUCAAGCAACUUGGAAAACAUUUUGAUGAUCCAUUAUUGAACCUCUAAAGUCGAUAUUCAAUCCCUAUCGACCUUGCUCAAAAAAUGUCUCAUUUCAAUUAGUGCAGAGAAAAAUAAAGGCAGAGUUGAAAAUAGAUUUUUCAGUUUGGAAAGUGACAUUGAGAUGUAAAAAGACUAGACAUUAAGGUGGCAAGAGAGAUCUAACAGGAUCAGACAAAAAAGGAAAAAAAAAUGAAUGAAAAAUAGAAAAUGCCCUAGAAAGGGGAGAACAACUUAGUUGCAAUGGGGAUAACAAUAUCUUGCUAUUACUGGUCAAUAAUUUUAUACCACGUGGCCUAGAAGGAGGCCUGUUAGUCCAACUCAUCUGGUCCACUUCCCAUUAUAUGAACCCGACUUGAGAGUUUUGGUUUUUUGGUUGAAGUAGAACAACCCGACUUGAGAAUUGAGGCAGCCAAACUAGAAGGGAAGCAGCCCACUCCACUCCCGCUCCCCAUGUGCCCAGUACUUCGCUUGUUUACUUCACCUUUUAAACCUUUUAGGAUUUUUUUUAUAGGAUAAGAGGAAAACGACGACAUUACAAGUUAUUACGCAUCAACGUAUGUAAUUUCUAGAUUAAAAUCUCACUUUUUACGCAUGUCAUUAUCUUAGGAUUAUGUAUUACUACGCACUGACAAUCUUACGAUUAUCUGCAAUUCAUCCUUCAAUGACCAAAGACGUUAUAUCAAAUCAACAAUAAGACAUACAUUUCUCCAAAUAACUAAAUUAUGUGGAUUUCAACUUGCUCUCAUUUAUAUGUUUGUCUCUCUCCUCCUAUUGAUUAGCCUCUCCAUAAGAGCAAAUAUGAAAAAAGAAGCUCCCAAUCCGAACUUUAAGUCACAAGUUUAACAGUUUACUUUUAAACAAAAGCAAGUUACGAAACAAUCCCCUGAUUUCCUUGUUAAACAUCAACCGACCCAUUAUUGAUGAGGAUUGAGAAUCUAAGAGCAUAUGGACGAUGGAUCUCUCUCUCUUUUUGAAAACAAAAACAAAAACAAAAAACAAAAAUCAACUUCAUUAUCCUUGGUGAAUUUGUUCUGGAUUAGUUGUUUUGAAUUAGUACAGCUUACGUACGCAAUGGAACAUCGAACUUAGCUAGCUAAAAGGAAAAAAGAAAGGCCACUACUACAGUACCGCAGUAUAUUAUUCCAAGAAGACAAAUGUAAACUAUAUACGUGAAGAAUCUCUAGUAUUGGUCGUCAUUUUCAAUCCUUAUAAAAGAAAGCUUGCUUCGCCAUAAUUUCAGGUUGUUCUCAAGGCAGGCAGAGAGAGUACGUAGCUUGGCAAGAAAGGUAAGGGCACUUCAAAAGAUUGUUUCUCAUCAUCUAUAUGAGGAAAUGUGUUGCCAUCAAGCUAGCGGACAAGGCAAAUUAGCAACCUUUAUACUCGAUAUAUUAUUCCAAGCAGAUAUACAUGUAAAUAUAUGUGAAGAAUAUUAUGAUCAUGAUCAAUAUAGAAUCUGUAUCAUGAUCAGAGGGUAUCGAUCCAGCAUCCAAAGAAAAAGGAUAUACUCUGCAUAUGUGCAUGCCAACAACUAUAAAAGGAGACCAUGAGGCAAUGAGUCGAUCAUCAACGGAAACACACAGAUAUCCCAACUAAAAAUCCAUCGUGAGACAAUGGCUGGAACCAAUGAUAUUAAAAUUAAGGGGUUUGAUUUGAGCAACAACAAAGGCAACACGUCGGGAUUAACCCACUUCGCCAACAGAGCUGACGGGGGCGACAAUGGCAACAAUAAAAUCGAGGUUGAGGAUGCUAAAGGGCAAGGGAACACGGGAAACUUGAAAGUACUGACCGACUUCGCCCAACGCGGUAAAGUGGGCCAGUCGGAUCGCCAAGAACUACUCAAACCUCAGGCAUGAAAUUGAAGAAGGCCAGACCACAACAACUUGUCUGCUUGAUAGAUAUAUGUGCUAAAUUAUCUACACAAAAAUAAGAGCUGAUGUUUUAUCUGAGGCUCCUUCCUUGGUUAGGCCUCGUUAUCAUGUGUAAUAUUAAUAUUAUUAUUCUAAUAAAAUAAUGGUAGCUUAUUAUUAAAUAUAUCAAAAUUCUAUACGUAUAACUUUUAGAUUAUUGAUACUGAUGUCAACAAGAGAAAAUGAUUAAAAAGUCCUUUCUCCAAUUCGUGAUGUUACAAAAUGAGACUUCAAAUUUUAAAACUAUAGUUGCAUACGAGUACAAAACUGAACCAAACAAUGUAUGGGCCAGAGUGACCAAGGAUGUACGCCAGUGAACUAAUGGCAAUCUCUCGUUGCAUGCACGCAUAUGCAAUUGAAGGAGGCAUUAUCUGAGGCUCCUUCCUUGGCUAGGCCUCAUUUUCAAUUUUGAUUUCAACUUUGAUUUUGCUUAAACUUUGAUUUUGAGCUAGACUGUGAUUUCGACUUUGAUCUCCCAAUUCGUGCCUUAAGAAUCAGUUUCUCCCAACUCUAUUUACCAAAACCGAAAACUCUGAACUUUUCAAUUCGUCUGGCUACUCUCAGGGUUUCAUGCCUUAGUUUCCUCUCGCCAAAAAGCCAAAAAGACUUGGCUUUCAUGUAAUGCUAUACUCCUCGAUUGAACAAGCCGCGUCUUCAAAUUCAGCUUUCUCACUUCCUUUCUCUUUACUUUCUUUCUUUUGUUUUCCGGCUGGGAAAAUCAUGGAAGCAUUACAAAUUUAAGAGAAUAUUCUAGUAUUAGGGUCCAAACUGUACUAUUUAGGUAUUUUCAUUCUGAUUAAGAGUUCUUUUCUAGAAAUUUGGGGAAGAAAAAAUAGAGUUUCUGUUUUAGUGUUUGAUUUUCAUUACAGUGAAUUAUGUGAAACCGAAAUGUUUCUUGUCUGAUUUCAUCACUGCUUUCAAAUUGCAAAUUAAGGAUUUGAAGGUUAACAAUGCCCGUCUUUAACAAUGUCGCAUUUCAAUUAGUACAAAAGAAAAAUAAAGGCAUAGUUGAAAAUAGAUUUUUCAGUUUCGAAAGUGACAUUGAGAUUUAAAAAGACUAGACAUUAAGAUGGCAAGAGAGAUCUAAAAGGAUCAAACAAAAAAAGUGAAUGAAAAAUUGAAAAUGCCCUAGAAAGGGAGGAAAUCUUAGUUGCAAUGGGGAUAACAAUGUUUUGCUAUCCUCGAACAAUAAUUUUACACCACGUGACCUAGAAGGAGGCAUGUUAAUCUAACUCAUCUGGUCCACCGUCCAUGAUAUGAACCCGACUUGUGAGUUUUUUUUUUUUUUUGUUGAAGUAGAACAACCAAACUUGAGAGUUGAUGUCACAUCUCAGGAUCGGCUUCACCGUAGCACGAUAUUGUCUGCUUUGGGCCCCCUCGCUGUCCUCGCGGUUUUGUUUCUAGGAGCUCACGAGCAACUUCUCAGUUGGUCACUCAUCUUAGGAUUGCUCUGGCCCAAACUCACUUAACUUCGGAGUUCUCAUGACUCCGAAGCUAGUGAGCUCCUAAAAGGCCUCGUACUAAAUGGAAGUGGGCAUAUAUAUAUAAGGCACAACACCCCAUCUUCGUUGGUUGAUGUGGAAUGUUACAAUCCACCCCCCUUAGAGGUCUGACUUCCUCGUCGGCACACUCUCACCACACGGCAGAGUGGCUCUGAUACCAAACUGUCACAUCCCGGGAACGGCUCCGUCGUAGCACGAUAUUGUCCGCAUUGGGCCAACCUUUCUGCCCUCACGGUUUUGUUACUGGGAGCUCACGAGCAACUUCCCAGUGAAUCACUCAUCCUGGGAUUGCUCUAGCCCAAACUCGCUUCACUUCGGAGUUCCUAUGACUCCGAAGCCAAUUAGCUCCCAAAAGACCUCGUGCUAGAUAAAGGUGGGCACGUACAUAUAAGGCACAUCACCUUCUCUUCGUUGAUCGAUGUGGGAUGUUACAGUUGAGGGCUCCGUUGGUCGAUGUAGGAUGUUACAGUUGAGGCAGCCAAACUAGAAGGGAAGCAACCCAACUCCACUCCCUCUCCCCAUGUGCCCAGUUCUCUGCUCGUUUACUUCACCUUUUAAACAUUUUAGGAUUUUCCAUAAGCAAAGAGGAGAACGACCACAUUACGGUCUCGUUUGGUUCACGAACAGAUUUAAGGGGAAAUAACUUCUCAUGUCAUUUCUCAAGGGAUGAGAAAUGGAGAUUCAUUUCCCAUAUUUGGUAAUCCUAGGAAAAUAACAAAGAAAUACCACUUUAUUUCCUUUCACAUGUUUGGUUUGUCUAGGAAUGUAAAACAAAGUUUGUUUAAUUUUCCAAUUAUACCGAUAUGAAAUCAAAUAAAAAAAGAAUAUUUAAUGUUAUAUUGUAAUUCUAAACUGUUAAUAGGGACAAUAUGAUCAUGAAAAAUGUGUAUUUAAUGUUGGCUCAUUUGCUUAUUUUCCCAAACUUUCACAUGAGGAGGAAAACAAAACCCAAGGGGGGAGGAUGGCUUCACUUUCCCCUCUACUUUCCCAUGUACAAGGCAACGAUUUCUCAAGUCUGGACUUACCAUACAUGGGAAAGAAAUUAAUUUCUCAUCCCCAAGUCAUUUUUCCCAUAAACCAAACGGAGCCUACAGGUUAUAAGCUUCAACCUUUAAGGAUUUUCAUAACAAAUCUUGCAAUCUCAUACCAAGGAAAUAAAAAUAAAAAAAAGGAUCCAUGCGUGUAAUUUCUAGAUUAAAAUCUCACUUUUUACGCAUGCCAUUAUCUAAGGAUUAGGUAUGACUACACACGAACAAUCUUACAAUUAUCUGCAAUUCGUCCUUCAAUGGCCAAAGACGUUAUAUCAAAUGAACAAUAAGACGUACAUUUCUUCAAAGAACUAAAUUAUGUGGAUUUCAACUUGCUCUCACUUAUAUGUUUCUCUCUCUCCUCCUAUUGUUUAGCUUAAGGUUUUAGGGCGUGGUUGUCUAAGAACAAUAAGGUAAACAUGCUUACAAAAAAAGAUGGACAGCAAGGAUGGACAUAUGCGAAUGUGAGCUUUUACACAUUGCCACUAAUUUUCUCCAUGAUUUUGUUGAAAUCAUUAACAAAAUAAGAAACUUUAGUAAUUGAAGCGAAAGAGACUAAUUAUCAGAAGAGAAAAUAUGAAAAAAGAAGCUCCCAAUCCAAACUUUAAGUCACAAGUUUAACAGUUUACUUUAAAACAAAAGCAAGUUACGAAACAAUCCCCUGAUUUCCUUGUUAAACAUCAACCGACCCAUUAUUGAUGAGGAUUGAGAAUCUAAGAGCAUAUGGACGAUGGAUCUCUCUCUCUUUUUGAAAACAAAAACAAAAACAAAAAUCAACUUCAUUAUCCUUAGUGAAUUUGUUCGGGAUUAGUUGUGUUGAAUUAGUACAGCUUACUUACGCAAUCGAAUAUCAAACCUAGCUAGCUAAAAAGAGAAAAAGAAAGGCCACAACGACAGUACUGUAGUAUACGUGAAGAAUCUUAUGAUCUAUAAUAUUCUGUAUUAUUGGCCAUCAUUUUCAAUCCUUAUUAAAGAAAACUUGCUUCGCCAUAAUUUCAAGUUGUUCUGAAGGCAGGCAUAGAGAGCACGUAGCUUGGCAAGGGAGGUAAGGGCACUUCGAAAGAUUCCUUCUCAUCAUCUAUACAAGGAAAUGUGUUCUCAUCAAGCUACGGGACAAGGCAAAUUAGCAACCUUUAUACUCAGAUAUAUUAUUCCAAGCAGAUAAACAUGUAAAUAUAUGUGAAGAAUAUUAUGAUAAUGAUCAAUAUAGAAUCUGUAACAUUAUCAGAGGGGUAUCGAUCGACCAUCCAAAGAAAAGGAUAUCCUCUGCAUAUGUGCAUGCCAACAACUAUAAAAGGAGACCAUGAGGCAAUGAAUCAUCAAAGCAAAGACACAGAUAUCCCAACUAAAAAUCAAUCAGUGAGACAAUGGCUGGAACUGGAACCAAUGAUAUUAAAAUUAAAGGGUUCGAUUUGAGCAACAACAGCGGCAACACGUCGGGAUUAACCCACUUCGCCAACAGAGCUGAUGGGGGCGACAAGGGCGACAAUAAAAUCGAGGUUGAGGGUGCUAAAGCGCAAGAUAACAAGGGAAACUUGAAAGUACUUACCGAUUUCGCCCAACGCGGUGAAGUGGGCAGGUCGGAUCGCCAAGAACUUCUCAAGCCUCAGGCAUGAAAUUGAAGAAGGCCAUACCAUAUAUGUGCUGAAUUAUCUACACAAAAAUAAGAGCUGAUGUUUUAUCUGAGGCUCCUUCCUUGGUUAGGCCUCGUUAUCAUGUGUAAUAUUAAUAUUAUUAUUCUAAUAAAAUAAUGGCAGCUUAUUAUUAAAUAUAUCAAAAUUCUAUACGUAUAACUUUUAGAUUCUUGAGUGGGAAACCCUAGCUGCAUUCUGGUCCCUUUUCUUCUUGCCGACAACCAACCACAAGGAAACUAAAGGGGGAGGUGGCCACUGCCCCUCCCCCCCUUCGCCCAUCUUCCCUUUCUCUCCUCAUCUUCCCUUCUUUUUCUCCCAUCUUUUCCCUUCCUCUUAUGCCCUCUUCUCUUCCCAUUCCCUUUCCCAUAUAGUCUAGAUCUAUUUGGAUCUAGGUUUUGUUUGUUUGUUUGUUUGGUUUGGUUUGGUUGUUUUUGCAGUAUUCUAGGUGACUGGUAGUGACGUUGGAUUGUGUCUAUUAUCGGGAGAGUUGUGAUACCUAGUGGCUGAUGUUUUGUCUCUGUUUCAACGACGGCGGCAGUAGCGACACUAGUGAUAGUUAUUGGAUGUGGUGCUCUUCUUUAUUCUGCACUUACCGAAGAACUAUGCUUGGUCAUAGGAGGUUUUCUUUGUCAGAUUCUGAGUUGAAGUGGAGUGCUUCUUAGGGGUCCUUUUAUUGUUGCUUCUAUGUUCCUCCUCUGUGUUCUCUCCUGUUUUCUGUUAUGGUAUGCCUUGUAGUUUGUAUGGGUGUCAAAAUACUAUGAUUUUGCUCAUAGAAGGCUUCUUUUGACAGUUGGGAUAUUCUACGAUCCUCUUCUGUGGGUUUACUAUUUGGGGUUUCUGUCGUUCUCUCAUGUGGGUGUACUAUGUUGGUAUCUAGUUGAGGUUUUCGUCGGAGUUCUUUUUGUUAGUUUUCGUUUUUGAUUUGUUCUUUUAUUGUAAUGGUCCAAAGCGACCAGAAUUAAACUCUCUUGUUAGUCCAUGACAUGUGUGGUACUCUUUUCUCCCCGGGGUUUGUCCCUUGAGAUUGCCCUAGGAAGGUUUUAACGAGGCCACUAUAUCAUGUUGCUCAUUGUACGUCUUUGGUUCUAUUAAUUAAUUCUCUUUCUUAAAAAUAACAAAAAUAAAUAAAUAAAUAAAUAAAAAUUUAGAUUAUUGAUAACGAUGUCAACAAGAGAAAAUGAUUAAAAAGUCCUUUCUCCAAUUCGUGAUGUUACAAAAUGAGACUUCAAAUUGUAAAACUAUAGUUGGAUACGAGUAUAAAACUGAACCAGGCAAUGUAUGGGCCAGAGUGACCAAGGUUGUACGACAGUGAACUAAUGGCAAUUUCUCGUUGCAUGCACGCAUAUGCAAUUGAAGAAUGCCAUAAUAAUAUGUGUUUUUACUAAAUUAUCUACACUAAAAUAAAAACUGAGGCAUUAUCUGAGGCUCUUUCCUUGGCUAGGCCUCAUUUUCAAUUUUGAUUUCAACUUUGAUUUCGCUUAAACUUUGAUUUUGAGCUAGACUGUAAUUUCGACUUUGAUUCUGAUUCUCUCCCAAUUCAUGCCUUAAGAAUCAGUUUCUCCCAACUCUAUUUACCAAAACCAAAAACUCUAAACUUUUCAAUUCGUCUGGGUACUCUCAGAGUUUCAUGCCCUAGUUUCCUCUCGCCAAAAAGCCAAAAAGACUUGGCUUUCAUGUAAUGCUAUACUCCUCGAUUGAACAAGCUGCGUCUUCAAAUUCAACUUUCUCACUUCCCUUCUCUUUACUUUCUUUUCUUUUGUUUUCCAGCCCGGAAAAUCAUGGAAGCAUUACAAAUUUAAGAGAAUAUUCUAGUAUUAGGGUCCAAACUGUACUAUUUAGGUAUUUUCAUUCUGAUUAAGAGUUCUUUUCUAGAAAUUUGGUGAAGAAAAAAUAGAGUUUCUGUUUUAGUGUUUGAUUUUCAUUAUAGUGAGUUAUGUGAAAUCGAAAUGUUUCUUGUGUGAUUUCAUCACUGCUUUCAAAUUGCAAAUUAAGGAUUUGAAGGUUACAAAUUAUUAUGUAGAUAAUUUUUGGGAAUUUAAGAGGCAGUACAGUGUUUGUAUAAGUCUUGAGAUAGACCAAUUUACCACAUGCUCGAUUUCUAUAUAUAAAUUUUUUUAAAUCAUUCUUUUGUUUUAUUUAUUCUGUUAAUUUGUCAUAAUGUGUAAUAUGAUAGCUUCUAAUUCUUUCUUCCUAUUUCUUCUUUUUUGUUAUUCUCUCCCAAAUGAAAUGAAGACCUAACUUAUAUCAAGAAGAAGAGGAUGGAUCCUUACAUAUGAAGAUUUUAAAAUUAACAUUAUUGGAAGACAGUAGGAGUAUCGGCAAUUUGAUACAAGUAUCGGAGUAUCAAAUACGAGCAUGCCCGUCUUUAACAAUGUCUCAUUUCAAUUAGUACAAAAGAAAAAUAAAGGCAGAGUUCAAAAUAGAUUGUUCAGUUUCGAAAGUGACAUUGAGAUUUAAAAAGACUAGACAUUAAGAUGGCAAGAGAGAUCUAAAAGGAUCAAACAAAAAAAAUGAAUGAAAAAUUGAAAAUGCCCUAGAAAGGGAGGAAAUCUUAGUUGCAAUGGGGAUAACAGUAUUUUGCUAUCCUCGAUCAAUAAUUUUAUACCACGUGACCUAAGGAGGCAUGUCAAUCUAGCUCAUCUGGUCCACCGUCCAUGAUAUGAACUCGACUUGAGAGUUUUUUUUUUUUUUUUUUUUUUUUUUUGGGGUUGAAGUAGAACAACUAGACUUGAGAGUUGAUGUCACAUCUCAAGGUCGGUUCCACCGUAGCACGAUAUUGUCUGCUUUGGGCCCCCUCUUUGUCCUCGCGGUUUUGUUUUUAGGAGCUCACGAGCAACUUCCCAGUUGGUCACCCAUCUUGGGAUUGCUCUAGCCCAAACUCACUUAACUUCGGAGUUCUCAUGACUUCGAAAUCAGUGAGCUCCCAAAAGGCCUCGUGCUAAAAGGAGGUGGGCAUAUACAUAUAAGGCGCAACACCCCCUCUCCGUUAGUCGAUGUGGAAUGUUACAAUCCACCCCCUUUAGAGGUCCGACGUCCUCGUCGGCACAGUCUCACCACACGGCAGAGUGGCUCUAUGCCAAAUUGUCGCAUUCCGGGAUCGGCUCCGUCGUAACACGAUAUUGUCCGCGUUGGGUCAACCUCUCUGCCCUCACGAUUUUGUUUCUGGGAGCUUACGAGCAACUUCCCAGUAGAUCACUCAUCCAAACUCGCUUAACUUCGGAGUUCCCAUGACUCCGAAGCCAGUGAGCUCCCAAAAGACCUCGUGCUAAAUGGAGGUAGGCAUGUACAUAUAAGGCACAUCACCUCCGCUCCGUUGGUCGAUGUGGGAUGUUACAGUUGAGGGCUCCGUUGGUCGAUGUACGAUGUUACAGUUGAGGGCUCCGUUGGUCGAUGUAGGAUGUUAUAGUUGAGGCAGCCAAAAUAGAAGGGAAGCAACCCUACUCCACUCCCUCUCCCCAUGUGCCCAGUUCUCUACUCGUUUACUUCACCUUUUAAACCCCUUCGUACUUGAAGACCUGGCUGGCAAUUUGAUUGAAGCGAAAGAGACUAAUUAUCCAUGCUUUUGUUGAAAUCAUUAACAAAAUAAGAAACUUUAGUAAUUGAAGCGAAAGAGACUAAUUAUCAAAACAGAAAAUAUGAAAAAAGAAGCUCCCAAUCCGAACUUUAAGUCACAAGUUUAACAGUUUACUUUAAAACAAAAGCAAGUUACGAAACAAUCCCCUUAUUUACUUGUUAAACAUCAACCGACCCAUUAUUGAUGAGGAUUGAGAAUCUAAGAGCACAUGGACGAUGGAUCUCUCUCCCUUUUUGAAAACAAAAACAAAAACCAACUUCAUUAUCCUUAGUGAAUUUGUUCUGGAUUAGUUGUGUUGCAAUGGAACAUCGAACCUACCUAGCUAAAAGGAAAAAAGAAAGGCCACUACGACAGUACUGCAGUAUAUUAUUCCAAGAAGACAAAUGUAGACUAUAUACGUGAAGAAUAUCUAGUAUUGGUCGUCAUUUUCAAUCCUCAUAAAAGAAAACUUACUUCGCCAUAAUUUCAGGUUGUUCUCAAGGCAGGAAGGUAAGGACACUUGAAAAGAUUCCUUCUCAUCAUCUAUAUAAGGAAAUGUGUUCUCAUCAAGCUAGGGGACAAGGCAAAUUAGCAACCUUUAUACUCGAUAUAUUAUUCCAAGCAGAUAUACAUGUGAAGAAUAUUAUGAUCUUGAUCAAUAUGGAAUCUGUAUCAUGAUCAGUGGAUGUAUCGAUCGACCAUCCAAAGAAAAAGGAUAUCCUCUGCAUAUAUGUGUGCAUGCCAACAACUAUAAAAGGAGACCAUGAGGCAAUGAGUUGAUCAUCAAAGCAAACACACAGAAAUCCCAACUAAAAAUCAAUCAGUGAGACAAUGGCUGGAACUGGAACCAAUGAUAUUAAAAUUAAAGGGUUCGAUGUGAGCAACAACAGCGGCAACACGUCGGGAUUAACCCACUUCGCCAACAGAGCUGCCGAGGGCGACAAGGGCGACAAUAAAAUCGAGGUUGAGGAUGCUAAAGGGCAAGGGAACACGGGAAACUUGAAAGUACUGACCGACUUCGCCCAACGCGGUAAAGUGGGCCAGUCGGAUCGCCAAGAACUUGUCAAACCUCAGGCAUGAAAUUGAAGAAGGCCAUACCAUAACCACUUGUCUGCUUGAUAGAUAUAUGUGCUAAAUUAUCUACACAAAAAUAAGAGCUGAUGUUUUAUCUGAGGCUCCUUCCUUGGUUAGGCCUCGUUAUCAUGUGUAAUAUUAAUAUUAUUAUUCUAAUAAAAUAAUGGUAGCUUAUUAUUAAAUAUACCCAAAUACUAUACGUAUAACUUUUAGAUUAUUGAUACUGGUGUCAACAAGAGAAAAUGAUUAAAAAGUCCUUUCUCGCAUUCGUGAUGUUAGAA